rnacentral:rRNA from 1 species
GAUGAACGCUAGCGGCAGGCUUAAUACAUGCAAGUCGUGGGGCAGCACAGUAUAGCAAUAUAUGGGUGGCGACCGGCAAACGGGUGCGGAACACGUACGCAACCUUCCUACAGGCGGGGAAUAGCCCAGAGAAAUUUGGAUUAAUACCCCAUAAAAUUUUGAGAUGGCAUCAUCUUAUUAUUAAAGAUUUAUCACCUGAAGAUGGGCGUGCGGCUGAUUAGGUAGUGGCGGGGUAACGGCCACCAAGCCUACGAUCAGUAGCUGAUGUGAGAGCAUGAUCAGCCACACGGGCACUGAGAC